rnacentral:rRNA from 1 species
AAUGAACGCUGGCGGCAGGCCUAACACAUGCAAGUCGAACGGAUCCUUCGGGAUUAGUGGCGGACGGGUGAGUAACGCGUGGGAACAUACCCUUUGGUACGGAAUAGCCUCGGGAAACUGGGAGUAAUACCGUAUGUGGUCGAGAGACGAAAGAUUUAUCGCCAAAGGAUUGGCCCGCGUUGGAUUAGGUAGUUGGUGGGGUAAUGGCCUACCAAGCCGACGAUCCAUAGCUGGUUUGAGAGGAUGAUCAGCCACACUGGGACUGAGACACGGCCCAGACUCCUACGGGAGGCAGCAGUGGGGGAUCUUAGACAAUGGGGAAACCCUGAUCUAGCCAUGCCGCGUGAUCGAUGAAGGCCUUAGGGUUGUAAAGAUCUUUCAGGUGGGAAGAUAAUGACUGUACCACCAGAAGAAGCCCCGGCUAACUCCGUGCCAGCCGCCGCUGUAA